rnacentral:rRNA from 1 species
GACGAAGGGGGCUAGCGUUGUUCGGAAUUACUGGGCGUAAAGGGCGCGUAGGCGGUCUUGUCAGUCAGGCGUGAAAGCCCUGGGCUCAACCUGGGAGGUGCGUUUGAUACUGCAAGGCUUGAGUGCAGGAGAGGAUGGUGGAAUUCCCAGUGUAGAGGCGAAAUUCGUAGAUAUUGGGAAGAACACCGGUGGCGAAGGCGGCCAUCUGGACUGCAACUGACGCUGAGGCGCGAAAGCAAGGGGAUCAAACAGG